AAGCCAGAUGCGGGGCUGCCAGGAUUGGUCUUGUCAGAUUCGUCCUAAGAGGGCCGGUGGGACAGCUGCAGGUUAACUUCCUAAGUCCGGCUCCCAUCUGCUUCCACUAGUACCUUCACAUACCCAAAUUUUGGGUAUUAGAUUAGGUAGUAAAUUUGUCAGUGAAGUUAUAAAGUAUUAAGGCAGUUAACUACCAAAACCUAGAGAGGAAGCUGGGUUAUUCCUGGGCCACCUUUGGAAGAGAGUUUCCUCAGCAGCGGCUGGAUGGAAAGAAAACCAUGCAACGUUUAUGAAUGAAUUGAAAAACCUUCAGGCUGAAGGACUUACGACUCUUGGCCAAUCCCUAAGGACAGCUUUUGAUUUAUUAAAUUUAAAUAGAUUAGUAACUGGCAUAGACAACUAUGGGCAGGGAAGAAACCCUUUUUUCUUGGAGCCAGCAAUAAUUAUCACAAUUACUGAUGGGAGCAAGUUGACUACCACCAGUGGAGUCCAGGAUGAGGUACUGGGGACACACAGAUGGAAUUAAGCAAGGCUAGAAAACGUAUUAUCUUUGAAGACAG
rnacentral:lncRNA from 10 species